GAAACGCUAAUACCGCAUAACAUCAUUUAUCGCAUGAUAGGUUGAUCAAAGGAGCAAUCCGCUGGAAGAUGGACUCGCGUCCGAUUAGCCAGUUGGCGGGGUAACGGCCCACCAAAGCGACGAUCGGUAGCCGGACUGAGAGGUUGAACGGCCACAUUGGGACUGAGACACGGCCCAGACUCCUACGGGAGGCAGCAUG
rnacentral:rRNA from 1 species